rnacentral:rRNA from 1 species
UACGUAGGUGGCAAGCGUUGUCCGGAUUUAUUGGGCGUAAAGCGCGCGCAGGUGGUGCGGUAAGUCUGCCGUGAAAUCUCCCGGCUCAACUGGGAGGGGGCGGUGGAGACUGCCGGACUGGAGGGACUCAGAGGCCGGUGGAAUUCCCGGUGUAGUGGUGAAAUGCGUAGAGAUCGGGAGGAACACCAGUGGCGAAGGCGGCCGGCUGGGGGUGCCCUGACGCUGAGGAGCGAAAGCGUGGGGAGCGAACAGG